rnacentral:rRNA from 1 species
GACGAACGCUGGCGGCGUGCUUAACACAUGCAAGUCGAACGGAAAGGCCCUGCUUGCAGGGUACUCGAGUGGCGAACGGGUGAGUAACACGUGGGUGAUCUGCCCUGCACUUCGGGAUAAGCCUGGGAAACUGGGUCUAAUACCGGAUAGGAGCCAUUUUUAGUGUGAUGGUUGGAAAGUUUUUUCGGUGUAGGAUGAGCUCGCGGCCUAUCAGCUUGUUGGUGGGGUAAUGGCCUACCAAGGCGGCGACGGGUAGCCGGCCUGAGAGGGUGGACGGCCACAUUGGGACUGAGAUACGGCCCAGACUCCUACGGGAGGCAGCAGUGGGAAAUAUUGCACAAUGGGCGCAAGCCUGAUGCAGCGACGCCGCGUGGGGGAUGACGGCCUUCGGGUUGUAAACUCCUUUCGCUAGGGACGAAGCUUUUUGUGACGGUACCUAGAUAAGAAGCACCGGCUAACUACGU